UCUCACUUCUGUAUCUGAUCUUCGUUGGUUGGAGACAGACCUCACAAUCUAAACUGACCCCAACUGGCUAACAACUUAUAACUUUUCUAAAUAGGUAAAGGCAACAGAGAACAAAGGAAAAGAGGAAGUCCAAAUAAGGAAUGGAG